AAGUCGUAACAAGGUUUCCGUAGGUGAACCUGCGGAAGGAUCAUUAAUGAAAUGAUUUUUUUUGGGGGUUUUCCCUGAAAAAUAAUUCACCUUUUGUGCACCGUUAUAAGAUAUAUUUUGGUUAGAGCUUUGAUUUCAUUUAUUGAAAUCAACUUCUUGCUGACUCUAUCCUUCCUGAGGACAGUUGGCUAUGAAGCGGCCUACCAAGGUUUUUUAUCAAACACAUGUAUUUUGUCUGACCUAAAAUCAUUAUAAUUAAAUCAUAACUUUCAACAACGGAUCUCUUGGCUCUC
rnacentral:misc_RNA from 1 species